rnacentral:lncRNA from 1 species
CUUUCAUCAAGAGUUUUUCAUUUGAUCAUACUUGAACAAAUUUCAACCACCCUGCAAGAAAAGAAUAAUAUUAUCCCCAUUUUGCAGUUGAGGAAACUGAGGUAAUCAGAGGUUGUUAUUUACUAGAUCUGCCUGGUUAAGUAAGUGCUGUAGGCUCAAUUUUAACUCAGGUUUUUAUGAUUCUAAUCCCAAUCCUUUCUUCACUGGGCCAUUAGUGGUCUCCUAUGCAAUCAUUCUAAGUUAUUUUAAUGAUCCUAUCAAUGCAUCUUUUCCUAGACCUGUGAAGAAUCUGACAGCUACUACAGUAGAUACCAUCUGCCUCUAUCAGAGGGAUUCCACUGGCCCCUUCCUGGAUAGAGAGAGGGUUUACUGGGAAUUUAGCAACCAGACUGGUGGCAUCACUAGACUGGGGCCCUACACCCUCGACAGGGACAGUCUCUACCUUAAUGGUGAGUAACUCCACUCAGGACAUGACUCCUUAAUCUUCUUGAUUUUCUCCCUAUUUGGGAAAUAGCCAUUCUGCCCCAAAUUCUCUCUACAUUUUCCUAUCCCCACUGUAAGGUAAGCAUAGCAGAGAAGCAGGGGACCCAAAGAAACCAGGUGAAUCAACUAAAUCAGAACUCUCUCUGUCUCUGUCUCUGUCUCUGACUGUCUGUCUGUCUCUCAUUUCUUUCUUUCAAUAGGUUACAACCAUCAUUUACAAUCAUCUACCAGUACUCCUCUCCAGACCACAAUCCCUUCAAGAACUUCCUCAGAUCCUUCACUACCACCCAGUUCCUCAGCAUCUGGCAGCUUUAGCCUGAAGUCUUUCACCCUGAACUUCACCAUCACCGACUUGCUCUACACAGAAGACAUGGGACGGCCAGGCUCCCAAAAGUUCAAAGCCACUGAAAGAGUCCUACAGCGCCUGGUGAGAUUUCCCAUUUCCUCUCCUACCUUGCUCCUCCCUGGGACUGAAACCCCUCUCUAUCUAGGUGCUCACUCAUUCUCUCUUUUCCUUUAUAGCUCAGCCCCUUGCUUGAAAACAGUAGCCUUGGCUCUGACUAUUCUGGAUGCAGGCUGACCAUGCUGAGGUGAGAUGGGGCCAGGUGGUCAGGGACUCAGAAGAUGUGUGGAGCAGUCCUUUCCCCUGCACUGGCCCCAUGGCCACUUCUUCCCCACAAAGCCAAGAAGGCUACAGUGCUUACAUAGCUGAUCAUAAGGGGGCGAUCUGACCUCUCUUUAGUUCAAGAAGCAUUUAGCAGCUACACAUCAGGUGCUAAGUAGACUGCUAGCUACUGGAAAUAGAAAAAGAAAACACUCUCUGACAUCUAGGAGUUUAUGUUCUGUUGGGAUAAAGGAGGUACAAUGUGUACACAUGGGAGUCUGAGGAGGGAGAGAACAUUUUUAUAUAUAUAGAACCCGUUUGCUUGGACC